rnacentral:misc_RNA from 1 species
GAUGAAGAACGUAGCGAAAUGCGAUACUUGGUGUGAAUUGCAGAAUCCCGUGAACCAUCGAGUCUUUGAACGCAAGUUGCGCCCGAAGCCAUUAGGCCGAGGGCACGCCUGCCUGGGCGUCACACGUCGUUGCCCCCCCAUCUACUCCUUCGGGAUUGCGGGGGGCGGAUGAUGGCCUCCCAUGCGCCUCGUCGCGCGGUUGGCAUAAAUGCCAAGUCCUCGGCGACGCACGCCACGACAAUCGGUGGUUGCGAAACCUCGGUUGCCCGUCGUGUGCGGUCGUCGCGCAUCGAGGGCUCGAAAAAAUUGCCGGGCUCCGGCUCGGCUUUCAACGCGACCCCAGGUCAGGCGGGGUUACCCGCUGAAUUUAAGCAUAUCAAUAAGCGGAGGA